CCUACGGGUGGCAGCAGUGGGGAAUAUUGCACAAUGGGGGAAACCCUGAUGCAGCGACGCCGCGUGAGUGAAGACGUACUUCGUUAUGUAAAGCUCUAUCAGCAGGGAAGAAAAUGACGGUACCUGAGUAAGAAGCCCCGGCUAACUACGUGCCAGCAGCCGCGGUAAUACGUAGGUGGCGAGCGUUAUCCGGAUUUACUGGGCGUAAAGGGAGCGUAGACGGAAGUGUAAGUGUGGAGUGAAAGGCGCGGGCUCAACCCCAGGGCUGCACUGGAAACUGUACGGCUGGAGUGCAGGAGAGGAGAGUGGAAUUCCUAGUGUAGCGGUGAAAUGCGUAGAUAUUAGGAAGAACACCAGUGGCGAAGGCGGCUUACUGGACUGUAACUGACGUUGAGGCUCGAAAGCGUGGGGAGCAAACAGGAUUAGAUACCCCGGUAGUC
rnacentral:rRNA from 1 species